rnacentral:lncRNA from 1 species
CGCCACCACCGAUGGCCGCUCACCAGUACCAAUACCAACAACAGGCGCCGCCUCAGCAGCAGCCGCCACCGCAACCCUCGCCGUACAUGAUGAUGAUGCCGCCUCAGCCCCAGGCCCAGCCUCCUGCCAUGUGGGCCACGCAGGCUGCUGCUCCUCAGGCGGCGGGAGUUGCGGUACCACCUCAGCAGCAGGGUCAGCCCGGUGAGAUCCGGACCCUGUGGAUCGGGGACUUGCAGUAUUGGAUGGAUGAGACCUAUCUCAACACUUGUUUUGCACACACCGGCG